GAGUUUGAUCCUGGCUCAGGAUGAACGCUGGCGGCGUGCUUAACACAUGCAAGUCGAACGGACUUAGAUGAAACCUAGUGAUUCUAAGUUAGUGGCGGACGGGUGAGUAACGCGUGGGUAACCUGCCAUAUGCCGGGGGACAACAGUUGGAAACGACUGCUAAUACCGCAUAAGCGCACGGGAUCGCAUGAUCCAGUGUGAAAAACUCCGGUGGCAUAUGAUGGACCCGCGUCUGAUUAGCUAGUUGGUGAGGUAACGGCCCACCAAGGCGACGAUCAGUAGCCGGCCUGAGAGGGUGAACGGCCACAUUGGGACUGAGACACGGCCCAAACUCCUACGGGAGGCAGCAGUGGGGAAUAUUGGACAAUGGGGGGAACCCUGAUCCAGCGACGCCGCGUGAGUGAAGAAGUAUUUCGGUAUGUAAGGCUCUAUCAGCAAGAAAGAAAAUGACGGUACUUGACUAAGAAGCCCCGGCUAACUACGUGCCAGCAGCCGCGGUAAUACGUAGGGGGCAAGCGUUAUCCGGAUUUACUGGGUGUAAAGGGAGCGUAGACGGUAAGGCAAGUCUGAAGUGAAAUGCCAGGGCUCAACCCUGGAACUGCUUUGGAAACUGUCCUACUAGAGUGCAGGAGAGGUAAGUGGAAUUCCUAGUGUAGCGGUGAAAUGCGUAGA
rnacentral:rRNA from 1 species